rfam:Thalassospira sp. HJ NODE_5, whole genome shotgun sequence.
AGAGGCUGGCAGUGGACGGACCGCUCGCCAACCCGGUCAGGACCGGAAGGUAGCAGCCGUAACGAGUUUUUCCGGGUCGCUGUUCAGUCUCUCAC